UUUAGUGUUGAGUGUUUAGACUACAGAGGUCAAUAGACAACUGAUUGAGGUAGUUUCUCAUGUCAAAGCAAUGUCAUCUUGAGCAAGUCCCUUCCCUUCUCUGGGCCUCUGCUUCCUGAUAUUUACAGCAGGAGGGUUGGAUGAAACACCUUCUCUGUGUCUUGAGGUGUUGACACUCAUCAUGGGAAGACAUCUCAUUGUUUUCUGGAGGAAGCAAGUGCCAUCCUGCCACCCCAGGGGAAACACAGCCGCCAGGAAGAGGAGGGAGAGGUGGUGUCUGGGGAGGUGGAGGGGCCUGACUGCAGAGUUAGCCCUAGGAUGACUUCAGGAUUGACAUGAGGCUCUCCAAAAGGGCUCAUUGCCCCUUGAUGAGCCUCAAAUGUCAUCAUGGGCACUUUAUCCUUACAGGAUGAUAGUGCUUAGAAUUCCAGAAGUAGGUGGAGUGGACAUCUGGCUUUUGAAGAAGGGGACAACCAUGCAUGGGACCCAGUAGAACAUGGAGAGUAUUGAGAUCUGAGAACUAAGUUUAUGCUUUGCAGACAGGAACAGUGUGAUACAUAUAAAUUAUUAUCAACACUAUCACUGCUGUUAAAUCCUCACACUGCAACGUUAACUGGUUCAUGUUUCAGCCCCAGCUCAGCCACUCAUUGGUUGUGUGACUUCAGAGAAGCCGAGCUCCAUCUCUGAGACACAGCUGCUUCAUCCGCCAAGUGAGAAGGUUGACCUGCAUGAUCAGCUGAAGAUGCUGCCUGCCUCAGUCCAGUAAGUGUGAUCAGGAUGUUAAAAUUAAUGGUUGAACAAUCAAUAAUCGGAGGCUCACCUUUCAAAAAGAAAAGGGCCAGCUGGAAAGUGACAUAAGUAAAAGAGGAAAAGAAAACUCUCUCUCAAGAGGCUGCUCUUUCACAAACAGUCAGCAUGUCUGUGAUACUCCGUGUAGCAUAUUCAUACGACAGGGAAACACAGUGGAUGUGCCGAAAGAUGAGCAGCAAGUGGCCACACCCACAAAGAGGGCCAGCACUAAAAGCUGUCCUCUUCCAUUCCCACAAAGAGAGGCCUACUGUGGCCUUCUUGAGGCCCAAGGGCCCCUGGUUGGCCCA
rnacentral:lncRNA from 13 species